rnacentral:rRNA from 1 species
GACGGAGGAUGCAAGUGUUAUCCGGAAUCACUGGGCGUAAAGCGUCUGUAGGUGGUUCAAUAAGUCAACUGUUAAAUCUUGAGGCUCAACUUCAAAAUCGCAGUCGAAACUAUUAAACUAGAGUAUAGUAGGGGUAAAGGGAAUUUCCGGUGGAGCGGUGAAAUGCGUAGAGAUUGGAAAGAACACCAACGGCGAAAGCACUCUGCUGGGCCGACACUGACACUGAGAGACGAAAGCUAGGGGAGCGAAUGGG